AUACCCGCUGAACUUAAGCAUAUCAAUAAGCGGAGGAAAAGAAACCAACAGGGAUUGCCUCAGUAACGGCGAGUGAAGCGGCAAUAGCUCAAAUUUGAAAUCUGGUGCUUUCAGUACCCGAAUUGUAAUUUGUAGAGGAUGCUUCGGCUUACGCCCCGGUCUAAGUUCCUUGGAACAGGACGUCAGAGAGGGUGAGAACCCCGUUUGCGGCUGGUGGCCUCCGCCAUGUGAAGCUCCUUCGACGAGUCGAGUUGUUUGGGAAUGCAGCUCUAAAUGGGAGGUAUAUUUCUUCUAAAGCUAAAUAUUGGCCAGAGACCGAUAGCGCACAAGUAGAGUGAUCGAAAGAUGAAAAGCACUUUGGAAAGAGAGUUAAAAAGUACGUGAAAUUGUUGAAAGGGAAGCGCUUGCGACCAGACUUGCCCGCGGAUGCUCAGCCGGCCCUUCGGCCGGUGUACUCUUCCGCGGUCAGGCCAGCAUCAGUUUAGGCGGUCGGAUAAAGGCCUUGGGAAUGUAGCUCUCUUCGGGGAGUGUUAUAGCCCUUGGUGCAAUGCGGCCCGCCUGGACUGAGGAACGCGCUUCGGCUAGGAUGCUGGCGUAAUGGUCGUAAGCGGCCCGUCUUGAAACACGGACC
rnacentral:rRNA from 1 species